ACUCCUACGGGAGGCAGCAGUGGGGAAUAUUGGACAAUGGGGGCAACCCUGAUCCAGCAAUGCCGCGUGUGUGAAGAAGGCCUUCGGGUUGUAAAGCACUUUCGGUGGGGACAAACAAGGCGGAGCUAACAUCUCCGUCUCUGAUGGUACCCAAAGAAGAAGCACCGGCUAACUCUGUGCCAGCAGCCGCGGUAAUACAGAGGGUGCAAGCGUUAAUCGGAAUUACUGGGCGUAAAGGGUGCGUAGGUGGUUUGUUAAGUCAGGCGUGAAAUCCUCGGGCUCAACCUGGGAACUGCGCUUGAUACUGACAGACUCGAGUGUGGUAGAGGAUAGUGGAAUUCCCGGUGUAGCGGUGAAAUGCGUAGAUAUCGGGAGGAACAUCAGUGGCGAAGGCGGCUAUCUGGACUAACACUGACACUGAGGCACGAAAGCGUGGGUAGCAAACAGGAUUAGAUACCCUGGUAGUCCACGCCCUAAACGAUGGGUACUAGACGUCGGGAAGCUUGUCUUCUUGGUGUCGCAGCUAACGCAAUAAGUACCCCGCCUGGGGAGUACGGUCGCAAGAUUAAAACUCAAAUGAAUUGACGG
rnacentral:rRNA from 1 species